UACGUAGGGGGCAAGCGUUAUCCGGAAUCAUUGGGCGUAAAGCGCGUGUAGGCGGUUCAGUAAGUCCGCUCUGAAAGCCCAGGGCUCAACCCUGGGAGGCGGGUGGAUACUACUGAACUAGAGUCCGGAAGAGGAGUGUGGAAUUCCUGGUGUAGCGGUGAAAUGCGCAGAUAUCAGGAAGAACACCUAUGGCGAAGGCAGCUCUCUGGGACGGUACUGACGCUGAGACGCGAAAGCGUGGGGAGCGAACAGG
rnacentral:rRNA from 1 species